rnacentral:tRNA from 1 species
GGAAAAGAAUCGAAGAAGCAUCUGACUCCUUCAUGCAUGGCCUCUAUGGUAGAAUCAGUCGGGGAGGCCCGAG